UCGCGUCCUGUCACCGAGCGGCUCCUCCCGCCCCUGUCCGCCCAUCGCUCCUCAGCGCUUCAGCUGAGAGGGUGGCCCCGUGAAGGGAACGGAUGAGGUGCCCGAGUCGGUAAAUGAGGACAGCCCGCAGAAGCGAUUUAACGGCACUGAGUCCCCCUUAAAGCCCCCUCAUGAGCAGUGCUGCUGCACAGUGCUUUUAUUCCCUCUGCUUCUGAAAUAAAACGGCAAUUAAAUGCAGAAAUGACGACUGAUUUCUUGGCUUGAACAUUGCAUUAAUGUUAGAUUUGCCUUUACAUAUGCCAUUUAAACCGAAAGCUGGGGUUGUAGUUACUUUUCCUCUAUCUCCAUAUUCAGAUUUUAGGUUUCAAGAUUUCUUCCAGUCCUUAUAAACACCACAGGAAAGUAAUCCCAGACUCGUGGAAAAAAAAAAAGAUUUCACUCUCAAUCAAGGAGAUUUCAGUAUAAACUCCUUCAGAAUAAUGGACCUGAUCUUUAACUGACGCUUGACUGUGUCUGCAAUGCAUGUUUAGUGUUGUACUGUUUCUCAAAUCCAGCCAAGAAGGAACAAGAUUCCUCAUUGUCAGUUACAGGUAAGGUGGAAGUCCCACAGCUAAGCUGCUUUCUCAUAUGCUUUAUCUUUUACAUUUCUACUGGGGCUGAAUUUCCUUUGCUCAUACCCAGAGGUGCCCCUUUUUAAUUCUGCAUUAACCUUUUCAAGCAAAUCUUGAGCACACACCAGGCAGGAACUCCUCAGUACCAAGGGAGGAAGAACAGAUCCCUGACCCUGGGACAGCAGCAACAUCACUGGCUUUGGUACUGAAAGACCCCAGAGCAUCCCAGGAGUUUUCAUCCCCAAAACCCAGCCUGUGUUGGUUGGUUACAGGAAACUUCUGCCAAGAAGCUCAAGGCAGGUGAACAUUACAUCUUGAAGAGGUACUGGCUUUUGAGGUUCAACCUCAGAGCUGGGAAUCAGGUCUGGGUACGUGCAAGUGAUGUAAUGGACUGUGCCCUUCCACUCACCGUGGAUCUGUGCCAGUUUGUAUCAGCUGGGGCCCUCACCUUCCGCUUCAGUUCCUGAACCAACUGCUGAUUCACCCUUGUGUAAGUCACUUAACUGUUCUGUGCCUGCUGCUCCCCACCCAUGCCACCAUGACCGAGCUUCUCUGGGUGUUGUAAGCUUUAGUCCACAGGAAUUCACAAUGUUUUGAGAUAUGGAAGAUGUUAAACCCCAAAGUGUUAUUAACAAUUAUCAGAUAGUUUAUAAUAAUAUAUGCACUGCUAAUGGACUUCUCUGUCCCUUCAAUGGCGUCUUGCUGUAGCUGUGAUUACCUUUGGAUUGUUUUGUUCUUCUUUAGAGAGAGCGUUUGUCUUUUUCUGCACAGCAUGUCUGCAUUGCACCCAUCUCCUAGUGAGCUGUCCCCUUCUAAACUGCCUUGAGGGCAGGAUGGACACAUCCACCGUGUGGUGAGGCACAGCACGUUGACUCUUUAGAGUAUUUGAUGACUUUGCAGCCCUGUUUAAGACACAAUGAAGACAACACAAUUUAAUAAACUUAAUAAGCUGCCACUCAUCAGCUGAGACAUCUUAACUGGCUGCAUGCAUGUUCUUGAAGCAAUUCAGGCUUUUAUAGUAAUUUGAUCUAGUUUAAACAUCAGCAAAGGUGUUUUAGACAAACAUGUCUUACCUCACAAGCUGGGUGUGCAAAGAGCACACGUACAGAGUUACCAGCCUCAGCUGACAUGGGGUAAUCCUGUGUGCUCACACAAGCCAUAUGCUAAGGCUGAACUUUCUGAGGCUGACUCACUCUGACCGAGUACCUGCGCCAGCACGUUCCCGGUUGAUUAAACUGGUUUGCAGGCCAUAAUUAUUUUCUAUAUCAUAUUAUAAUGGCUUCGCAUCAUAUUAAUUUUAACAUUGUAAGAAUUUGCUUCUGGGAACGGCCUUCUUGAAUUAAUCACUGACUCAUGAUUUACUGUAGGAGAUAAUAUCUAACCUACAAGAAGCAGAACAGGAAACUAUCUAUUUGAAAGAUGUCAGUGUCUGAUAAUUUAUGACUAUAGACAGAGAAACAUCUGAG